AUACGUAGGUGACAAGCGUUAUCCGGAUUUACUGGGCGUAAAGGGCGUGUAGGCGGUCUUGCAAGUCAGAAGUGAAAUUCCUGAGCUCAACUCGGGCGCUGCUUCUGAAACUGCAGGACUUGAGUGCUGGAGGGGAUAGCGGAAUUCCUAGUGGAGCGGUAAAAUGCGCAGAUAUUGGGAAGAACACCGGUGGCGAAGGCGGCUAUCUGGACAGUAACUGACGCUGAGGCGCGAAAGCGUGGGGAGCAAACAGGAUUAGAUACCCUGGUAGUCCAUGCCGUAAACGAUGAAUACUAGGUGUAGGGGGUAUCGACUCCCUCUGUGCCGCAGUUAACACAAUAAGCAUUCCGCCUGGGGAGUACGGCCGCAAGGUUGAAACUCAAAUGAAUUGGCGGGG
rnacentral:rRNA from 1 species